rfam:Macleaya cordata isolate BLH2017 scaffold9079, whole genome shotgun sequence.
UGGGGGUCGACGGAGCUCCCUUUUAAUCCAACUGAGGAAGGAUGUAGAGGGUUUUAGCGUCUGCUAGUUCAUGAAAACCCUUGGCUGCGUAGGUUUAUGGAUAUGGGUGUGCGCAGGUUAAGGGUGCGCAUGAAUUAGGAGAUGAUCUUUCCUUCUUCUCUCCUUACUUGGAUUGAAGGGAGCUCCAUUAAUGACCUCU